rnacentral:snRNA from 1 species
GGAUGUGAGGGCGAUCUGGCUGGCUUCCUCCCUCACCACUCCAUGUGUGUCCCUACCGGAGCUGUGCGCUCAGUUGAAGAGGACGACCUUCCAUGAAUAGAGACGGACCUAUCUUCAGGUCUAGGGUAUACGAGUAGCUGCACUCCCCUGCUAGAACCUCCAAAUAAGCUCUCAUCUCCUGUACUCCUACUUUUUGUUUCCUGUUCAUUUUGUCCCGCUUAUUAUUUUGCUGCCUUUCAGCCAUCAAGUUGCUAAUGUUA